rnacentral:rRNA from 1 species
GCACGGGUGCGUACACGUAUGUAACCUACCUUGUUCAGGGGGAUAGCCUCUCGAAAGAGAGAUUAAGACCGCAUAAAAUCACAAUGCGGCAUCACAAAAUGAUCAAAUAUUUAUAGGAACAAGAUGGGCAUGCGGAACAUUAGCUAGUUGGUGAGGUAACGGCUCACCAAGGCGACGAUGUUUAGGGGAUCUGAGAGGAUGGCCCCCCACACUGGUACUGAGACACGGACCAGACUCCUACGGGAGGCAGCAGUAAGGAAUAUUGGUCAAUGGACGAAAGUCUGAACCAGCCAUGCCGCGUGCAGGAAGACGGCCCUAUGGGUUGUAAACUGCUUUUGCAGGGGAAUAAACCUCUCUACGUGUAGAGAGUUGAAUGUACUCUGAGAAUAAGGAUCGGCUAACUCCGUGCCAGCAGCCGCGGUAAUACGGAGGAUCCGAGCGUUAUCCGGAUUUAUUGGGUUUAAAGGGUGCGUAGGUGGCCUGUUAAGUCAGGGGUGAAAGACGGUAGCUCAACUAUCGCAGUGCCCUUGAUACUGAUGGGCUUGAAUAAACUAGAGGUGGGCGGAAUGUGACAAGUAGCGGUGAAAUGCAUAGAUACGUCACAGAACACCAAUUGCGAAGGCAGCUUACUAUGGUUUUAUUGACGCUGAGGCACGAAAGCGUGGGGAUCAAACAGGAUUAGAUACCCUGGUAGU